UCUAUCUGUCCUGUGUCUGUGCGUGUAUAGUGCAGUCUAUACAUUGUGUCUUCAACCGGUUUAUCUGCCUCUAAUUUUAACGUAUAAAUUUGUCCUUCUGUCUUGUUACUUUACGGCGCUCACACGGUUAACCUUCAUGCCUGAAGUUUCCCCCUUUUCUCUUUCUCCCCUUUUUUGCACUCUGUCCUCCCCUCCCCCCUCCCCUCUUGCUUUCUGUGAUGUACAGACCUAGGGGACAGGAGUGACAUGCCUGCAUUUCAGAGCUACUGAAAUAUUUUAAUUGUGUAAUAUUGUGUGCAUUGUUAUAU